UUGAUCCUGGCUCAGGAUGAACGCUAGCGGCAGGCUUAACACAUGCAAGUCGAGGGGCAUCGGGAGGGAAGCUUGCUUUCCUUGCCGGCGACCGGCGCACGGGUGAGUAACACGUAUGCAACCUGCCCUCUUCAGGGGGACAACCUUCCGAAAGGGAGGCUAAUCCCGCGUAUAUCGGUUUCGGGCAUCCGAGAUCGAGGAAAGAUUCAUCGGAAGAGGAUGGGCAUGCGGCGCAUUAGCUAGACGGCGGGGUAACGGCCCACCGUGGCGACGAUGCGUAGGGGUUCUGAGAGGAAGGUCCCCCACACUGGUACUGAGACACGGACCAGACUCCUACGGGAGGCAGCAGUGAGGAAUAUUGGUCAAUGGGAGAGAUCCUGAACCAGCCAAGCCGCGUGAGGGAAGACGGCCCUAUGGGUUGUAAACCUCUUUUGUCAGAUAACAAAACCCGGGGACGACUCCCGGACUGCGUGUAUCCGAAGAAAAAGCAUCAGCUAACUCCGUGCCAGCAGCCGCGGUAAUACGGAGGAUGCGAGCGUUAUCCGGAUUUUUUGGGUUUAAAGGGUGGGUAGGCGGUCCGUUAAGUCAACAGUAAAAUUGCGGGGCUCAACCCCGUCGAGCCGUUGAAACUGGCAGACUUGAGUUGGCGAGAAGUACGCGGAAUGCGCGGUGUAGCGGUGAAAUGCAUAGAUAUCGUGCAGAACUCCGAUUGCGAAGGCAGCGUACCGGCGCCACACUGACGCUGAGGCACGAAAGCGUGGGGAUCGAACAGGAUUAGAUACCCUGGUAGUCCACGCAGUAAACGAUGAAUGCUGGUUGUCCGGGUCGAAUGAGACCUGGGCGGCGAAGCGAAAGCGAUAAGCAUUCCACCUGGGGAGUACGCCGGCAACGGUGAAACUCAAAGGAAUUGACGGGGGCCCGCACAAGCGGAGGAACAUGUGGUUUAAUUCGAUGAUACGCGAGGAACCUUACCCGGGCUCAAACGGGAGUGGAAUGGACCAGAGACGGUUCAGCCUACGGGCCGCUUCCGAGGUGCUGCAUGGUUGUCGUCAGCUCGUGCCGUGAGGUGUCGGCUUGAGUGCCAUAACGAGCGCAACCCCCGCCGGCAGUUGCUAACGGGCAAUGCCGAGGACUCUGCCGGGACUGCCGCCGCAAGGCGUGAGGAAGGCGGGGAUGACGUCAAAUCAGCACGGCCCUUACGUCCGGGGCGACACACGUGUUACAAUGGGCGGUACAGCGGGAAGCCGGGCGGCGACGCCGAGCUGAACCCGAAAGCCGUUCUCAGUUCGGAUCGGAGUCUGCAACCCGACUCCGUGAAGCUGGAUUCGCUAGUAAUCGCGCAUCAGCCAUGGCGCGGUGAAUACGUUCCCGGGCCUUGCACUCACCGCCCGUCA
rnacentral:rRNA from 1 species